UGCCAGCAGCCGCGGUAAUACGGAGGAUCCAAGCGUUAUCCGGAAUUAUUGGGUUUAAAGGGUCCGCAGGCUGUUUGUUAAGUCGGGGGUGAAAUCCUACCGCUCAACGGUAGAACUGCCUUUGAUACUGGCAAACUUGAGUUAUUGUGAAGUAGUUAGAAUGUGUAGUGUAGCGGUGAAAUGCAUAGAUAUUACACAGAAUACCAAUUGCGAAGGCAGAUUACUAACAAUUAACUGACGCUAAAGUACGGAAGCAUAGGUAGCAAACAGGAUUAGAUA
rnacentral:rRNA from 1 species